rnacentral:lncRNA from 1 species
UUGAGUGGUACAAGAAGGAAAUGGAAAUGAACCGCUUCAAAGAAUUGCUUGUACCAUAACGAGCAAAGUGUGUUCUUCAUCGGCCUGAGGAAAAGAGGAGUUGUGGUGGUUUCCCGACGAGUGGAAGUGACGAGUAAGGUUCUUUGAUUUUUGGCGUCGGGAAAAAUCAACUGGGAAAUGCUAGUGAGGUGUGUUCUUCAUUGGUAUGGCAUCGGCCGGAGGUGCUGAAGAUGAGUGUAACGGUGUGUUUUCUCACCAGAGAUGUUUGUGGAGAUAGUUUGCUAUUGAUUGGAAGGCUUCAACAUGGGGGCAAGUGGUGGCUGGGGUUUCAAUCUUUUAGCGGGAAAU